AAGCAAGGAGGAGGAGAAGCUGUGUAGUCAGCGGGAGGAUUUCAGUGACACGGUUGCCGAGAAUGAGAAGAAGAGGAAACGAAAAAUGCAGGAAAAGGAUGGAAAAUCGAAGAAAAAGGAUUUCAAGUUCUAGGACGUGCUGCUGGUUUUGUGAUCGGAAUGUUAGAAUGCCAGAUCCAUUAUGCUUUUCUUAGACACCUCUAAAUUUUUAUCAUUCGGAAUCAUAAUUGUUGUGU